CUCGCCUACAUGAAGCUGGAAUUGCUAGUAAUCACAGGUCAGCAUACUGUGGUGAAUACGUUCCCGGGCCUUGUACACACCGCCCGUCACACCAUGAGAGUUGAGAAUACCCGAAGCCCAUGUCAAAGUGGUCGAAGGUAGGCUUGAUGAUUGGGGUGAAGUCGUAACAAGGUAAC
rnacentral:rRNA from 1 species